UGUCAUUUCAAAAGGAGAAUACAACUGUCUUUUUUGCUUUUAUGUUUGUUUGUUUUGAGGGGAGGCAAGCUCACGACGAAAAUAGCAGCACAAAGAAACCUGCAUCAGAUCGAUGUCUUAACCUGUGUGUUGUGAUUUCCAAGGAACGGUUGGAUUUUGAGUUGAGGGACAUGGCUUAGUGAGUACUAUUGGUGAUACGUGGAUGGUUGGACUGGACGAUCUCAAAGGUCUUUUCCAACCUUGGUGAUUCCGUGAUUCUGUGAUUCUCCGUGCCGGCACUCCGCACACAGACGGCUCUCAGAGCUCCCUGUUCUCACGCACGAGGUGGCUCUCAGAGCACGAGGGGACCACAUGGAAAGCUGCAGCCCAGGAGCCGUUAAUGGGCGCUGUUUGCAGAGGGCAGGUGGCCGUGACCCAUGGGGGGUCCUGGUUAUCUUUAUUUAAAACUCCUUUAAGCAGUGUGUGAUAAAUUCUGGGCUGAGGUCUGUUGAGCUGACAUCUUAUCUGUAUUCUUGUUUGUCCCUCAAACAGUAAACAUCCUCUACUCAAGUUAAAAUAACAAGCUCUGUAAUGCUGACUUCGUUCUUUGUUAUUUGCUAACUGAAACCACCGUUAGCAACCCGUGAUGUCUCCGCUGCUUAACUUUUCGUUGUUUUUAUUUGAUAGUGCCAACUUUGUAAGCAGUAUUUUCAGCAGUGUGUUAGCAGGAUGUGCCUUUCAAGCUUAAAUCUCCUUUGAGACAGACACACAACAAAAAUGUAGUUGUCAUCAGGAUUCCUUUUUCAUACCAAUGGAGGUACCCAGUAAGAUCAGUGUAGCACCAGCAAUUGCAAUUCAUAGCAGCUGUGAAGUCAGAUAAAAGAACAAGCAGUCCUGUGCAGCAGGAAUGAUCUCAGCAGGAGUUGCACUUGGACUAGAUAACAUGCUAACCUUUCAUACCAAGUGGAGACAAGGGAGAGACGCUGCUUUAUCAGGCUUCCAUUUCAGGAUCCGUGCAGCCCUUCUGUGGGUUUCUGACCAUCUAAAAUAAAAAUGCAGAUUGAAAAGAAGAUGGAGUCCUACUGUGCUUCCACUGCAGAGCUCUCAGUCUGGUGUCCUCGCUCAGGGACGUGGCUCGCUCUCUCUCCAGCCCAUCUCUUGACACAGAAUCAUUUGUUCAACUUCCAGAGGACAGCAGAAUGAGCUUAGUGUGGCGCCAGGGCCGAUCCGAUCCCAGUAGGACAAAACUCCUUGAUUUAAAUGCUAGGCAUGCUUCUCACCAGAACUUCUAUUCUGUAGCAACAGAGCUUAAACAAAUCAACGGAUGAGCGUUUUCAGAGUAGUGGUGUCUUAUAAUUCCUUUGGCUUAUCACAUCAGUUCUGUAUAAACUGAAGCGAAUGUAUAAAUUUGGCCUCUCAAGCAUCUUAGUGUUUAACUUCAAUUCGAUUAAACACUUAUGUAUGUGUACAAAGUGAAAAAUGAGGUUACAAGAGGUUAGUGCUUUAAUGCUUUUAAUAACUCUUAAGCACAUGACUGUAUUUUGUCAAACAGAACAUGGAUUUGUUCUAGCAGGAAAAAUACAUGCUAGAUAGAUAUAAAUUGAGGCUCUCCAAAACAGUAAAGCUGCUAUAGAACCAAACCCACUUCUGGGCCAUCUUGGUAAAAUCACCAAUAGCAUUUCUGUGGUGGAAUAAACACAUAAGUGUUUCUGAGUAUCUUUCAUUAGGAGGCUCAAGCACGCAGUUGGAAAAUCUGAAAGAACUCUGGGCAGACCAGAGAAGCAGAGGAAGGGCAAUUAAAGGGCUUGAUAUCAGACACAACACUGAAUUCUCAGCACUGAAGCUGGGAUGAAUUCAGGUCCUGAGGAUUCCAAAACAAUGUGCACCAAGUAAGGCCCUUGACGUACCCAGAAACUGGCAGCAAAGUAAAUAAUUCAUAAUAAUGUAUUAAUUCAAACUGAAAGGCACUGCCUGAUGAAUUUCCCUGACCAGUCUCACGCUCCUUCCCCUGCUGAAACAGAUUGUUUUGCUCUAUGAAGACUGCUAGUCUUUAAUUUAUGCAAAUAAAUAACACUGCUUCAAAAAGCUCCUUGUAGGGAAGAUAAGAGCUGUGCAAACCAGUGCUCAAAGGAAAUGUCACACACACUUUGUGAAGCUGCAGAAAUUAGCACAUUUAAAACAUGUGAACUUAUCAUACAAAGAGCACAUAUAUAUAUUAAUAUUAUUAGAAGUGUUACACUGGAUCUUAAGCAAUUUAGUCCAACCAAUGAGGCUGUAUUCAGGACAAGACAGGCACUGACCCUUUGUACUCAAUUCGGUAGUUAAAAGUGUUCAGACAAAGGUGAUCCCUGUUGCAGGCAAAAGAGGCAGAUGCUGACAACAGAAAUGCGUCCCUCAAACAUCUUGAUUAAUUACACUUUAGAAUAACAACCACCUAAACUGGUUUUCACUCAGGGCUGAGGCUCAUCCAUGCCAUGCAGAAAGCAGUGCCAGAACCACUGCAUCUUUUGAAGAUUAACAAAUUAUCUACAAGAGAAGGUAAUCAGAAAACUUGCCAUUUCUUUCUUUUUUUGUAUGUCUGCCAGUCCACCUCUAAAAUAUUUCUCUAGAACAAAAAUAGGUAAAGGUUAACUUAGAACAUUUUAGCACAUCUGAUUUUUUGGUUGAUACUCUUUUUAAUACUAUUCAGAACAGUUUGCUAGCAAGAACAACUCAAUCCUGUAAUGAAAUAACCUAUAUUUCAACGUAACCUUUAACUCACAUAUAACAAAGAACACUGUAAUAAGCAAUUAGUUUUCCAAAGUAUCCCAUUUGUUUAGUAUUUGACUCUUGCUUUCAUCAUUUAAUGAUUUACAGUAAUGAACUGGAACAUCGGUAUUUUGCACUGAAAUGACCAAAAUAGUUGUGGAGGCAUCAUUGCCCUCAUGUGACAGACCUCAGAUGUUUUUGUGAGAAGUUAGCCAAAAGCAAUAGACAGUGCCAUCGCUUCUGUUUAAUUUGUACUGCAAAACAACAACAAAGUGGCCAUAACGACUU